rnacentral:rRNA from 1 species
AAGGGCACCACAAGAACGCGUGGAGCAUGUGGCUUAAUUUGACUCAACGCGGGAAAACUUACCGGGUCCGGACACACUGAGGAUUGACAGGCGACUUAUAUAUUGAAAAUGUGCUAGUCCUUUCAUGAUUGUGUGAUAGGUGGUGCAUGGCCGUUCUUAGUUCGUGGAGUGAUCUGUCUGCUUAAUUGCGUUUCAGAUAUUUGGGGUUUUAUCAAAACAGUUGUUCUCGGGGUCUCCUGACUAUGUUGGCUUCAUUGUCGCAUUGGUCUAACCCUUGAACGCGGGCCCCAUUGAAAGCAACGAACGUGACCGCAACCCUUUGUUGAUACACACUAUUUUUUAGAUGUAUUACAACUAAGGGGACCGCCAGGGUUUGUAAAACCGGAGGAAGGUUGCGGCAAUAACAGGUCUGUGAUGCCCUUAGAUGUUCCGGGCUGCACACGUGCUACAAUGAUUGUUCCAGAAAGUAUCUAUUCUUUCUAUUGAUUUUGUUCUCUGAAGGUGGCAACACCGGAUGGAACCACGGACUGGCUUUCUAGUUUCGGUUGAUACACACGUCAUGUGUUGUUGUCUCCGCGACUAUUAACUGCCUAACGUGCACCCUACCUCGAAAGUUCGGUAGGUAAUCAAUUCCAAGUGACAAUCUCCCAUGUGUGCACAAAUCAAAUGCCACUGGUUCCAAGGGGACUUGUCCCCUUCUUACCAGUUGACAUGUGCUCUAUUAAUUCGUGGUCGGGACAGACCAUUGCUAAUUGUUGGUCUCGGUCUCAACUAGGAAUGCCUUGUACGGGUCUUUGGUUCAACAAACCACCCGGAAUACGUCCCUGCCCUUUGUACACACCGCCCGUCGCUCUUACCGAUGGACUACUCUGUGAGUUUGAGGGACUGGUGUUCUCCCCUUUUUCGGGGAGCGACGCUAUGGAAACUUAAACGAACAGUGUGGUCUAAAGGAAAGAGAAGUCG